rnacentral:rRNA from 1 species
UGGGGAAUUUUCCGCAAUGGGCGAAAGCCUGACGGAGCAAUACCGCGUGAGGGAGGAAGGCUUUUGGGUUGUAAACCUCUUUUAUUAAGGAAGAAGAAAGUGACUGUACUUAAAGAAUCAGCAUCGGCUAACUCCGUGCCAGCAGCCGCGGUAAUACGGAGGAUGCAAGCGUUAUCCGGAAUCAUUGGGCGUAAAGCGUCCGCAGGUGGCUAAUCAAGUCUGCUGUUAAAGACGGAAGCUUAACUUCUGAAAAGCAGUGGAAACUGGUAAGCUAGAGUACGGUAGGGGUUGAGGGAAUUCCCAGUGUAGCGGUGAAAUGCGUAGAUAUUGGGAAGAACACCAGUGGCGAAGGCGCUCAACUGGGCCGUAACUGACACUCAGGGACGAAAGCUAGGGUAGCGAAAGGGAUUAGAUACCCCCGUAGUCC